rnacentral:lncRNA from 1 species
GUGAUUUUCAGAUUUCUUCUGAAAAAAGUUUUACAGCUUGCUUUGGCAGGUCAAAAAAUUCUUUGUAUGUGAUCAAUAUUAUCCCAGAAGAAUUCUGACAGGACUUCAUUGAAUUGGCAGGAAACUAUAACAGUGUGCUCUUUUUCUUGGUCCUUCCCAUUAUCUCCCAUAUACAGAAUUGUAUUCUGCUCUGAAGACAGUGAAGAAAUUCCUUAAGUCCUAACCAUAUUUUCUAAGUUCUGUGGAAAACUCAUGGGUAUUGAACAACAAAACUGUUAAUUCUUCUGUAAAUUCCCAUUGCUGCCAGAAAAGAUGCUGUAGUCCAGUGGAUUACAUUGCUAUAUUGUAUUCAAAAACCAAAACAUUAAUAUUCUGUUUGCUGAUGUCCCAGCUAUGAACUGGAAGGAGAUUCAACACAAAAUUUAGAGAUUCUGAGCUGAGACAGAACUCUAUGAGGAAAGGAUGACACAUUCUCUCCUAAUGUCCAGGUCAGAAACCUCUCUGCUUCUGGUCCUAUUUUGUUCAACAACACCAGUGUCUGGGG